ACCCAGCUGACGAGUCCCAAAUAGGACGAAACGCGCGUCCCGGAU
rnacentral:hammerhead_ribozyme from 1 species